AGGACGAACGCUUGCGACGUGCCUAAGAAAUGCAAGUCGAACGGGGUCAUCCUUCGGGGUGGCCUAGUGGCGAACGGUCGCGUAACACGUGGGCAACCUGCCCUGAAGCGGGGGACAACACACCGAAAGGUGUGCUAAUACCGCAUGUGAAUCGUGGUGGCAUCACCGAGGAUUCAAAGCCGCAAGGCACUUCAGGAUGGGCCCGCGGCCUAUCAGCUAGUUGGUGAGGUAACGGCCCACCAAGGCUUCGACGGGUAGCUGGUCUGAGAGGACGAUCAGCCGGAUUGGGACUGAGAUACGGCCCAGACUCCUACGGGGGCAGCAAUUAGGAAUCUUGCGCAAUGGGCGAAAGCCUGACGCAGCGACGUCGCGUGAAGGAUGAAAUCUUUCGGGAUGUAAACUUCUUUUUCGGGAAGAACAAAUGACGGUACCCGAAGAAUAAGCCCGGCUAACUACGUGCCAGCAGCCGC
rnacentral:rRNA from 1 species